GACGAACGCUGGCGGCGUGCUUAACACAUGCAAGUCGAACGGAAAGGCCCUGCUUUUGUGGGGUGCUCGAGUGGCGAACGGGUGAGUAACACGUGAGUAACCUGCCCUUGACUUUGGGAUAACUUCAGGAAACUGGGGCUAAUACCGGAUAGGAGCUCCUGCUGCAUGGUGGGGGUUGGAAAGUUUCGGCGGUUGGGGAUGGACUCGCGGCUUAUCAGCUUGUUGGUGGGGUAGUGGCUUACCAAGGCUUUGACGGGUAGCCGGCCUGGGAGGGUGACCGGCCACAUUGGGACUGAGAUACGGCCCAGACUCCUACGGGAGGCAGCAGUGGGGAAUAUUGCACAAUGGGCGGAAGCCUGAUGCAGCAGCGCCGCGUGCGGGAUGACGGCCUUCGGGUUGUAAACCACUUUCGCCUGUGACGAAGCGUGAGUGACGGUAAUGGGUAAAGAAGCACCGGCUAACUACGUG
rnacentral:rRNA from 1 species